GCGCCCGUAGCUCAGUUGGCAGAGUGGUGGAACGUUGAUCACAGUCCCGGGUUCUAGUCCCGGCGGUCACU